CCAAAUCCCUCAUUUACGAUUACUAUUCAAAAUCUCAUAUCACAAUCUCUCUCUUUCUCUCUCUCUCUCUAUUCAAAAUCGCUCACCAUAACCGAAAGUUUGCACCUUCUUGUCAAGAAAUCUGAUGCGCCACUGCGACUCUGAAAAUCCAGCGACGCCGUGUCUUCCUCUGGAAUCGACAUCCCUCACCAAUCAUCGUCACACACCGAGGUCUUCGCUUUCAAAUGAUCGCCUCUGCUUUUAGGAUUUCCGGCGAGGCUAGUUGGCGUCGCCGACCGAAUUCGGCGUGCGACCGACCAAGAAUGACCGGCGACCACUGCCCGAUUUUGAGAAGGAGCCUGUGUUCAACCAUGACUUUGAGAAGAUGGAGGGCAUGGAACGGCGGCGAUUGGACUGGCUGUGGACGGAGUUUUCGUCAAAUUGAAUGAGCAAUUUUAGAAUUUUGGGGAUAUUCAUGCGUCCAAUAAAUCUGAAUUUAUCUGUUCAUUUAGAUAUUGUGUUCUGUUCAUUUAUAAAUUAUUUUCUGUUCAUUUA